GACGAACCGUGCAACCGUUGUUCGGAAUCACUGGGCUUAAAGGGCGCGUAGGCGGGCAUUUAAGUCAGGGGUGAAAUCCCCCAGCUCAACUGGGGAACUGCCUUUGAUACUGGGUGCCUCGAGUGAGGUAGGGGCGUGCGGAACUGAUGGUGGAGCGGUGAAAUGUGUUGAUAUCAUCAGGAACUCCGGUGGCGAAAGCGGCGCGCUGGACCUCAACUGACGCUGAUGCGCGAAAGCCAGGGGAGCAAACGGG
rnacentral:rRNA from 1 species